GAUAUAGCUCAGUUGGUUACAGCUUGGUGCUGAUAACGCUAAGUUUUGCAGGUUCAAUCCCCAUAUGGGACA
rnacentral:tRNA from 1 species